UACGUAGGGGGCUAGCGUUGUCCGGAAUCAUUGGGCGUAAAGAGCGUGUAGGCGGUCCGGUAAGUCCGUUGUGAAAGUCAAGGGCUCAACCCUUGAAUGCCGGCGGAUACUGUCGGGCUAGAGUCCGGAAGAGGCGAGUGGAAUUCCCGGUGUAGCGGUGAAAUGCGCAGAUAUCGGGAGGAACACCUAUGGCGAAGGCAGCUCGCUGGGACGGUACUGACGCUGAGACGCGAAAGCGUGGGGAGCAAACAGG
rnacentral:rRNA from 1 species